GACGCAGCUGGCUGGCCUUCUGCUCCUUGUCUCCCGGAGGCUCCCUGCCCUCAGCAAUAGAAGUGCCCUGGUCUUUGCCAGAACCAAACAGUGGUCACAGCUAGGACCUGCACCGGGGGUCCUGAAUCCACCUUGCCCGGUGCCCAGAUGCCCCUCCUGCUCUCUGGAUGGAGCCCACCCUCAACAAGCACUCCGGCAGGACCAGGUUCCAUGAAGACAAUGCCACUUGGAAUCUGAUAACCUCCUUUGCAUCCAGAAGCAGCCAUGGGACCCAAACCUGACCAAUGCAACGAGAGAGUCAAUAUUCUGAGGUGGGAAGAGUUCAAGGAAAAAUUUUGUUUCGUAAUGCAACGGAGGCACAAGAAGAAACUCUCCUUCCUGCCUUUGAAAAUAAUUGGUUGAGAACAACAUGCUGGAACCGAAGCAGCCUUUCUCUCUGACUGGUCCAGGGAUGAGUAUGUGACACUUAAGUCCAACGAGAUGCAAUGAGACUUUUGUUGUGGCUUCUGGGAGUGCCAGAGGCUCUUUUCUACCAGGCUUAGUCAGCCUUGCAGCCACAGCAGGAGAUGCUAAGAACCGCCCUGAGAGGGAAAAAGAGGAGCAGAGGGAUCAAGAGACACUCAUCAGGAACUGCUGACAUUUGAGCCUCUGGAUCUGGCUGUGCCUGAAACUAACAAGCUACUCCUUCCACAUUCUAGUUAUCUGAUAUUAUAAAUUUAUUUCAUUUAAAGCUAUUUAACUUAGGUUUUGUUGUUGUUGCAUGCAACCAAGAGUGCUGACUGAUACAAUCUUCCAAUUAUAUGCUGUUUUUACUUUAAAAGGGGUGUUUGGUGUCUCAGCCUGAAAGGAGCAGUAAUGGUAGGAUUGAGGGCACAUAGCAAUCCAGGAAGAAGGCAAUGGUACAUAGACCCCUGAAAUCAUACCAGAUGGCCAGUUACUACUCAGUCUCUAGAUUCAGCUGGUUCUGCAAGAAGAGUUAUCAAGCUAUCAGCUUUCUCUUGCAGGCAUCCUUCUGUACCUUUAAGACAGAGCAUCUAAUUAGCUUUGGGUGGUUUCAGUUAGGCGUAUAGUGGAGAAAUUAAGAAAACAUUAAAACCAGGACCAUUGGAACAUGAGGAUGUGCGGCUUAAGAUUUACCCAAGAGGGGCUGACCUCAAUUAGGACGUUGAUGCUGGAUUGGGUGCUCUGGUUUUCCUCUACUUUAAAAACUGUUGGAUCCCUGAUAUGCCAAGACCCCAGAGAGAUGGAGAAACGUUUACGUGCAUGGAGGAAAAAAUAUCUUUUUAGAGUUACAAAGUGAGAAUCACAGUUAUUCUACCACUAUUAAGCCAGAAAAUCAUUGUCUAAAAUGGAUAUUUUUUUCUUUUUUAAUGUGUAAAUGAGCUUCUUGGUUGGUUUAAAGGGGCAAAGAUUCCCAUCAGCCUUCAGAGCUGGUCACUCAUCAGUGGAUUGGUAAAUGCAGAAUGGGGUUCGAGUCUGUAUCUUCUUUAGUGGAACAGUGGGUAAUGUCGUUUUGACUCACGAAUCAGUUUCCUUCACUCUUCUGGGCUAAUGACCCACUUCCUCCGGCUUCCCUUAGCUGCACCUGGUGUUUCUGUGGGAAAGGCCUUCACACUGACAUUCUUAUUUGAUAGUGAAUGUUGAUGGACACCAGGCCUGCUUAUGCACAAGAGCUUCUGACCUGGGAUCAGAGAAGGAAACGGAAUUUUAAAGAAAUGUCUCAAGAGUCAGAGAAGGCAGGAGCCGAGAAGUGAUCACUACUGACCUCAAGCUCAAAGACCUAUGGGAAGUAGCAAAAUUCAACAGGAUGAGUGGUGAAUCCCUGGGUCCUUGGUCAAAGGUCCUGAGGUCCUGAGGUCAAAUCAGAAGAGAAAAUGCAAAUUUGUCCAUGUAAGAAAUUUAUUCCAAAAAGUCAGAUACAAAAAUUUGACUUGACAAAGCAUGGUGGGUUUUGUAAAAAAAAAUAAAUGGUUAUAAAGAG
ensembl:lncRNA novel transcript